AAAGGAGGCAAGCAUGUAAGUUUACUAAUAUUUUUCUUUGUGAUAUUACUGAUAUAAGUUAACCCAUUGCGCCCUGCUUUAUUAUAUUACUCUGUCUAACGCCAGACGAUUUACUCAUGAAGGGGAGGGCUCUGGUGCUUAAUGGGUUAACUGGCCUAUCUGCCCAUGUGUCUAGUUAAUCCAUUGAAUUGCAUUGCACCAAUGCGCCCUUGCUUUAUGAUUUUACUCUGUCUACCACCAGACAAUUUACUCGUCAAGGGGAGAGCUCUGGCGUUUAAUACGUAUAGUAACUUAACUGGCCUAUCUGCCCAUGCGUCUAUAGUAAUCUAGUUAAUCCAUUCAGUUGCAUUGUGCCAAUGCACCCUGGUUUAAGUAUUAUUUUACUCUGUCUAACGAUUUACUCGUAUGACUAUGUGGGCAGUGACUGACUGAAACAGUACAGGCUUGACUGCAGUCACUGACAAGAAGAAAAUUCAGAUAUCACAAUGUAUAUUAAUUUUACUGUAUUAUAAACCAUAUAAUUUCUUUUAUUAGUCCAUGCUGACAGCAUUUGCCUUAACUGAGGUGGAUAGACCCAAGAAAUUUUCGAAAUUAACUAAGAAUGCAAGAAAAAGAUUCAAUGUGAACUGAAGAUUUGGGAGAACUGUUAAGAGAACACAAACAUACAGUAUUUGUUUUUAAUAUUUUAGUAAUGAUAUUAUAUGCAUUUCUUAAUUUUAAUCUUUGGUCUUGUCCCUGCAUGGUGUUACUGGUAACCCACCCCUGAUUUUUUUUAUUUCUGCAUGCUUUUAGUUGAGUAAUGCAUAUACAGGGUGUAUCAAAAAAUGUCCCAAAUGGAUAAUUUCCUCAAAAUCACACAAAAUUUGGGAUAUUUUUUGUAACCGAGA